UUCGGCCCGGUAUGGGCUAGACCGGGAGCCAAACCGCAAGCGCCCCCGAGGUGUCCUAGUGCCCUGGGUGGGCUCCUCGAGUGUGGCCUGAGCCUCUGGAGUAGCUUUCGGGAGUAGACGCCUCGGAGCAGGAGACAUGGGCGGUGCAGGGGACCUGACGAGCGAACCAACGCCAUCCUUUCCUGCUGCUCCACCUCUGCUCCCCCUUCCUGCGGAGUCACUAAACUAACUCAAAACUGAUUCGUGCCUAUAACCAUUAGAGCAAAUAGCUAUCAUUUUCUCGUCGCCUACUUCGUGCCUGACACUGUGCUUAAUGCUAGAUCUCAAGCGAAGAGGGACACAGCAGACUCCUGCCCUGAAACACUGCAUGUCCCAACCCAGGAGGAAUUGAUGGCAGCACAGAUGAAAAAAUGCCAGAAAACCUCAGAGCAGUCUGGCCUCAAGCACAGCAAACAGCUCUCAACAGCCUGCCCCCAGCUCACCCUUCCUUUUCAUACAAAAAUAAACACAGAACCUGAGAUUUGGUGGCAGCAGUGGGAUCUGAAGCGAACUUCUGAUGGCUUCAGGACAACAAGAAACACAGGCAUGGUAUUCCACAAACCCACUGAGUUCUCUGUCUUCCUGCCAUUUCCGAAGGCCAUGGGGCACAUGGGUUCAAGCCCUGGUCCGGGAAGAUCCCACAUGCCGCACAGCAACUAAGCCCUUGCGCCACAACUACUGAGCCUGCGCUCUAGAGCCCGAGAGCCACAACUACUGAGCCCACGUGCCUAGAGCCCGUACUC